CAAGAGCUCCUGUAUUUAGACCAAAGCAUAAGAAAGCAGAGGACAAAAAUUGUUUUCUUGAAGGUCAAUAUGCAGUUAAUAUCAAAUAGAAGUCAUGGCAAAAAUAAAAAAGACUUCAACACUGAUCUACAACUCAUAUUUGUGGCUAAUGUGAAUCAAAGCAUGGCUUCAGUUGGAAGGGACCUUAAAUAUCAUUGAUCUUCACUCUUCUUCCACGGACAGGGCUGCCACCCCCCAGCUCAGCUGCACAGGGCCCCAUCCAACCUGGCCUUGAGCUCCUCCAGGGAUGGGAUGGGCCAUCACAGCUUCUCUGGGCAGCUUGUGCAAAUGAAUAGCUGUUGGCGUGUACACCUGAUGAGGAAAGUGAAGAAAGAGGAAGCAUGUGGAAGGGCAACUGAAGGACUGAGGAGAUCAUCUUACGAUCACCUCCCAAGGAGAGGCUGGGCAGGAAAGGACCCUGCACGGGGAAUGGUGGGAAGGAAUGUGUUCAAGGUUUACAAGGCUUUGGAAACUACACAUACGCAGAAGCACCAUUCACAAAUAUUGCAAUAUCAGCAUGGGGGCAACUUGAAGAAACUAGCAGGAGACUGGUUUCAAAUCGACAGAAGAAAGAAUAUAUGUAUGCAGAAUGUACUAGUUCAUAAACUAAUUUGGUGGACAUCAUGCCCAUGGAUGGGUGCUACAAGGACUAGGCCCUGAACAUCCCCAGUGCAGCAGAGAAAGGAGACAAUGAGCCACUGAGGAUGCACUCUGUGCACACAGAGCACUGUGAGUAAGGCGGCCCUUGGUGUCAGACUGCAACCCUCUGCUCAGCGAGCCAAAGCAAUGACUAUGGGGUUGUGGGUGCAGAAGGCAGGAUACGUGCUUGGAUCAGAGGGGUUCAUCCUAACCUAGUGGGUACAGGGACACACCAGUACAUAUCUGUAUGGAAAGGGUCAGGUCAGUACUCCAGACGCUGAUUAACAAGAGGUAUAUCCAGCUGCAAUGGCGGUGGUGUGGCCAGACAACUGCAGCUUUGAUGCUCAGUGGAAGUAUGCUUGAAAGCCUUUUUUCCCUUGUUGUCUGCCGAUGGAUAUGAAAUAAAGACCUGUAAAAACACCUGUUUUCAUAUUAAUUCGUUUUUCCUUCAUGCAUUUCAGGAUACCCCAUCCCUGGAGGCAUUGAAGGCCAGGCUGGAUGUGGCUCUGGGCAGCCUGGUCUGGUGGUUGGCGACCCUGCACGUAGCAGGGGGGUUGAAACUCGAUGAUCACUGUGGUCCUUUUCAACCCAGGCCAUUCUAUGAUUCUAUGAUUUCCAGUUUGCCUGGCUUUUUUUUUUUUUUUUUUUUAAUCUCUUCAGCUAUCAGGCUGACAAACCCAAAGUCAUAUCAUAUUCUCUAUCUUACACCUCAGACACGGUGAUAAAGAUCUGCAAGAAAAGGCAGUGGCUGUGUGAGCACAGUGAGUGAAUAAUGCAUUUCUUUAGAACUCUUAUGAUUACUCUUCACCAAAUCACUGCACUCUGUGACACAGGUCUGUGACCACAGCCUUCCCAAGCACAGGCUGCUAAAGAGCUCUCACUUGGACGAGGUGUUUGGGCACGUGCUCUGAGAAAUCUCUCUUUGGGACAACCGCAGAAGAGAAAUGGCAAAGGCUUCAGAAAUAACGACCAGGGACUGGCGCUGGCCCCGUGUGGUGCCUCCACAGGAGGGAAAGAACGAAACAGUACCUGAAACCCACUGACUUUAGAGACCUCCAUCUGAGGACUGCCCCUGGAGAAAGAAGACAGGUAUGCAGAGCUUGAGCUGAAAGCUACAGAGCCUACAGUCUUCAGAUUUUGCGGGGCAUUACACCUAGGCAGGUGUGUGUUUUAUACCUUGGCUAGCCACGAGUGACACAAGUAUUUUAUAUUUCCCUGCCCUUUUCUGUAGACUGCUUUGCAAGUCACCUGUCUUGUACCCCACCUAUCCCAGGGCUUCUCUGCUCAAAGCCAAGACACCUGCACCUUGCAGUGCACACUACCCGUAGCAAGUUGACUGCUGCUCUUCCAAAUAAGUAAAUACGAAGUGAAUGAAGUCCAAGGGAAUAUUCUGAUUGGCAGUGGCUGUUCUGUCCGUCUUAACCUAGAUCAGUUUGACAUAAGCCAUUUAUUUCAUGGUUAACCCCAGAAAAGUCCUGCAAGGAAUAGAAAUGCAUGCAUUAAUCCUGCUCACCGGUUUGGUUCCACCUUGGGCUGGAUGAAGGAGCCGCUGCAACCCAAACUCAAAUUUAUUGCUCCAAAUACUGUAAAGAAAACAACACUCCCUUGUGAUCCUCACACAAACUCUUUAUUACGGAGGGAAGAAAGAGACAACACUGUAAAGAGCUGAGCAUUACAACGAAACAUAAAGCAGCAUUAAAGUUGCUCUGUGCCUAAUGCUGUGGUUUAAGCAGCUAAUCUUGUUUUGGUUGAAUGGCAUGUUCAUUACAGCAAAUAAAUCAGCAACGUGUGGGAUUAUUGAAGAGGAA
ensembl:lncRNA